AGAACGAACGCUGGCGGCAGGCUUAACGCAUGCAAGUCGAACGCGUGUAGCAAUACACGAGUGGCGCACGGGUGAGUAACGCGUGGAUAUCUGCCUUUUGGUUCGGAAUAACCCCGGGAAACUGGGGCUAAUACCGGAUGGUUCCUACGGGAUAAAGAUUUAUCGCCAAAAGAUGAGUCCGCGUACGAUUAGCUAGUUGGUGAGGUAAUGGCUCACCAAGGCGACGAUCGUUAGCUGGUCUGAGAGGACGAUCAGCCACACUGGGACUGAGACACGGCCCAGACUCCUACGGGAGGCAGCAGUGGGGAAUAUUGGACAAUGGGGGCAACCCUGAUCCAGCCAUGCCGCGUGAGUGAUGAAGGCCUUCGGGUUGUAAAGCUCUUUUGGCGGGGACGAUGAUGACGGUACCCGCAGAAUAAGCCCCGGCUAACUUCGUGCCAGCAGCCGC
rnacentral:rRNA from 1 species